rnacentral:rRNA from 1 species
AGAGUUUGAUCAUGGCUCAGGACGAACGCUGGCGGCGCGCCUAACACAUGCAAGUCGAGCGAGAACCGGAGGCUUGCCUCCGGGGACAGCGGCGAACGGGUGCGUAACACGUGAGCAACCUGCCCCAAAGACCGGGACAACCCGAGGAAACUCGGACUAAUACCGGAUGCCCUCACCGGGUCGCAUGGUCUGGUGAGGAAAUGGAUUCCGCUUUGGGAUGGGCUCGCGGUCUAUCAGCUUGUUGGUGGGGUAACGGCCUACCAAGGCGACGACGGAUAGCUGGUCUGAGAGGACGAUCAGCCACACUGGGACUGAGACACGGCCCAGACUCCUACGGGAGGCAGCAGUGGGGAAUCUUGCGCAAUGGGGGAAACCCUGACGCAGCGACGCCGCGUGCGGGAUGAAGGCCUUCGGGUUGUAAACCGCUUUCAGCAGGGACGAAAUUGACGGUACCUGCAGAAGAAGGCCCGGCCAACUACGUGCCAGCAGCCGCGGUAAUACGUAGGGGCCUAGCGUUGUCCGGAAUUAUUGGGCGUAAAGAGCUCGUAGGCGGUUCGGCAAGUCGGAUGUGAAAUCUCCACGCUUAACGUGGAGGGGCCAUUCGAAACUGCUGUGACUCGAGUCCGGUAGGGGAGUGUGGAAUUCCCGGUGUAGCGGUGAAAUGCGCAGAUAUCGGGAGGAACACCAGUAGCGAAGGCGGCACUCUGGGCCGGUACUGACGCUGAGGAGCGAAAGCGUGGGGAGCGAACAGGAUUAGAUACCCUAGUAGUCC